GAUGAAGAACGUAGCGAAAUGCGAUAAGUAAUGUGAAUUGCAGAAUUCAGUGAAUCAUCGAAUCUUUGAACGCACAUUGCGCCCGCCAGUAUUCUGGCGGGCAUGCCUGUUCGAGCGUCAUUUCAACCCCCAAGCCCCAGCGGCCUGGUGUUGGGGACCGGCGACCUCGCCCGAGCCCGCCCUCCGGGGCGCGUGCCCGGUGCGUCCGCCGCCCCCGAAAUGAAUUGGCGGCCUCGUCGCGGCCUCCUCUGCGUAGUAGCACAACCUCGCAAGCGGGAGCGCGACGCGGCCACUGCCGUAAAACGCCCAACUUUUUUAGAGUUGACCUCGGAUCAGGUAGGAAUACCCGCUGAACUUAAGCAUAUCAAUAAGCGGAGGA
rnacentral:misc_RNA from 1 species